CCUCAUAAGGUAGGGCAGGGCUUACAUUGCUCCUUAGUUCUCUUGCGCUUUUUUUCCCCGUAUUCCCUCCCCUCUCCUCCUCGUUUCUUCAGAUGAAUUUGACAAUAUUUGCCAGUCUUUGGUAUCUGCUGCAGAAGAAGAACUGCAUAUCACAAGCCAUCCCAAAAUCACAGCCUGCGUUUCAGAGACUUUAUUUAAGAAAACACCAGGUUUACUGAAGUUACUAAUUCAUCUUGCCAUUCGGAUGCCAUUAUAUUUGCACCUUUCCUGGACUUUUUUCUCAUGUUAUCGGAUUACCCCUCUUGUCAAGCCCUAUUGGAUAUUGUUUGCUGAUCUUUGGGUGGUCUGUUUUUUUGGACUGCUCUUAUUUUGCCUCUGUUAUACCUGUUUCCUGUUUAUCUACCCAAACUUGUUUUUGGCCAUGUCUUGGAAUAAAGUUGUGCAUACGGAUCUGCAUGUUUUCUUUUCAUUCUGAAAAAAUGAAGAGUAUGGGACACCAUAAUGUCCUUUCCAUUCCUUCCUUUACAUUUCCUUAAAAGCUACGCAGCUAAAAUGUAAAUUAGUUCCACGUUUUGUUUUUGACUGCAGUUUCUCUUUUCAGUAUUCUUCUCUGCAGUGUCCAAUCCAAUAGGCUCAUUAAAAACACUAGAUGGGGCACAUUGCAAAUUACAUUAUUUAAAAAAAAGAUGUUUAUAAAGGAAGCAGUUUCAUAGGUUCAUUGUCGCAUUCCUUGCAUUGUUUUGUGUCUGAUUAGUGGGUGUAUCCGAUCGUGCGCGAGCUGAUAGAAAUCAGCUGUGGCUCGUUCACUCUCGCUAUUUAUUGUGUGCAUUUGGUCUUGUCUUUUGUCAGUUCCUUCCGCGUCCUGUUUAGCUCACUGAUUCUCCGGACUCCUAGUGGCCUUUUCACAGUCUGGUUUUGACUCUGUUUCCCCAAGUGGACGCUUAAAACUGGCUUCUCAUGGAUUCCCUUUGCGAUUCCUGGAUUUCCUACUCUGAGACUAUUUACUUCCUGAGAAUUGCCUUAUUGUUCUUUGUCAAUAAACUCACUUAAACUCA